CCUACGGGUGGCAGCAGUGAGGAAUAUUGGUCAAUGGCCGGAAGGCUGAACCAGCCAAGCCGCGUGAAGGACGAAGGUGCCAAGCAUUGUAAACUUCUUUUGUCAAGGGACAAAAUCAGGCUCGAGAGCCUGACCGAGGGUACUUGAAGAAAAAGCAUCGGCUAACUCCGUGCCAGCAGCCGCGGUAAUACGGAGGAUGCGAGCGUUAUCCGGAUUUAUUGGGUUUAAAGGGUGCGUAGGCGGGCUGUUAAGUCAGCGGUAAAAGCCCGGGGCUCAACCCCGGCGAGCCGUUGAAACUGGCUGUCUUGAGAUGUCGAGAGGUAUGCGGAAUGCGCAGUGUAGCGGUGAAAUGCUUAGAUAUUGCGCAGAACUCCGAUUGCGAAGGCGACUAUCUGGCACAUAACUGACGCUGAGGAGCGAAAGCGUGGGUAGCAAACAGGAUUAGAUACCCCAGUAGUC
rnacentral:rRNA from 1 species